rnacentral:rRNA from 1 species
AGUGAACGCUGGCGGUAGGCCUAACACAUGCAAGUCGAACGGCAGCACAGUAAGAGCUUGCUCUUACGGGUGGCGAGUGGCGGACGGGUGAGGAAUACAUCGGAAUCUACUUUUUCGUGGAGGAUAACGUAGGGAAACUUACGCUAAUACCGCAUACGACCUACGGGUGAAAGCAGGGGAUCUUCGGACCUUGCGCGAUUGAAUGAGCCGAUGUCGGAUUAGCUAGUUGGCGGGGUAAAGGCCCACCAAGGCGAGGAUCCGUAGCUGGACUGAGAGGAUGGUCAGCCACAUGGGAACUGAGACACGGUCCAGACUCCUACGGGAGGCAGCAGUGGGGAAUAUUGGGCAAUGGGCGCAAGCCUGAUCCAGCCAUACCGCGUGGGUGAAGAAGGCCUUCGGGUUGUAAAGCCCUUUUGUUGGGAAAGAAAAGCAGCAGGUUAAUACCCCGCUGUUCUGACGGUACCCAAAGAAUAAGCACCGGCUAACUUCGUG